GACAGAGGCCCCGAGCGUUAAUCGGAAUUACUGGGCGUAAAGUGUGCGUAGGCGGCGCCGCAAGUCGAGUGUGAAAGCCCCGGGCUUAACUUGGGAACUGCGCUCGAAACUAUGGUGCUGGAGUGUGGCAGAGGAAGGUGGAAUUCCACGUGUAGCGGUGAAAUGCGCAGAGAUGUGGAGGAACACCGAUGGCGAAGGCAGCCUUCUGGGCCAACACUGACGCUCAUGCACGAAAGCGUGGGGAGCAAACAGG
rnacentral:rRNA from 1 species